CGAUGUACAACAAAGACUCUGAGGGGCUUGGAAUUGACAGGCCGGAGGUGGGGCCCGAGUUCCUGUCUCCAGCCCACGAUUUGCCGAUCCAUCUGUCUUCCUCAGAGAGAGAGGGCGGAUAAUGCAGACUGCGCUUCCUUGGAAGACGGCAGGCUCCAGGCCAGACAAACGAAUGUAUCAACCAUACAGAUGAAGAGCUGAGGCUCAGGGAAGGAAUUUGCCAAGGUCACGAAGCUGUAAGACACAGAACCUGGGGUGUCUGCCUGUAGAGCUCACACUGACUCUACAGCCACUGAUCCAAAGCUUCAAUGAGCAAGAGAUGAAGUGACCCCUCCAACCCCACAGCUCAGCGUCUUUCUUGAAGCUCCAACUCCAGGGCCAUUGUUUUCCUGUUCUCCCCGCUCCAAGGCCUCUCCUCUCUCCUUGGCCCAACUCUCUGACAGUGAUGCAGGUUCUGGGCAGGACGUGUCUUUUGGGGGCCAUUCACCCCCAGGCUUCGUGGUGAAUGACUGACUAGAAGCAGUGCCCUCCAAGUUGGUCCUUCUGAACCCAUCAAUGACAGUGGACAGAAAAGUUGGCCACUGAUUGAACUUCAGAUCUGUCUCGAACAGGGAGCCACUGAUACCUGUGUAGGAACCAGCUCCAUCACCCGGCAUCCC